GGGCUAAUGGGCCAUGAGAGUAAUAUGGGUCCAUCCAAUGUUGGCUGUAGACGUGGCAACAGAGGGGAAAGAGUGAGAGCAAUUUUCCGUUAUUAUGGUAGAGAGGUUUGAGCCAAAGAGACGAGAGAAGGUGUCUGAAAACCGAAAAUGAAGUUUUAGUACUCUGUUUAGAGCAGUAUUACACAAUCUUGCGUUGCGUUCUCUAUUUACAAACGCAAUUGCCAGGAAACAAUCUCAAUCUCAAUAUGUUUUCCCACCACAAAAUAUGAACCUAAACUCAUACCAGAGGGACCAGUUGUGUUCCCUACCACUCUUUCGUUCUGAUCAAGCAUUGCCGUUAACCUCUUUACCUUCUCUUCCUUUGAAGCAUUCUCGACCAUGUCUUCUUCCCAGUUACCUUCCUCAAGUCCUGAUUUUGAGACGGUAAAUAGUUUGCCACGGCCACUUGAAUGCUUGCAAGGGAACCCGGUUCGGGCACUUUUUUCCAAGACUUUCGACCUCGUCGACGAUCCGUCGCUGGAUCCGAUCAUAUCCUGGGGCUCCUCCGGUGUUAGCUUCGUGGUGUGGGAUCGUACCCUGUUUGCAAGACACGUCUUGCCAAGGAAUUUCAAGCAUAACAAUUUCUCCAGUUUUGUUCGCCUGUUAAAUACUUAUGUGGGUACUCUAUAUGUAUUUUGAUGCUUGUAAUUUGUAACUGGUUUGAUGAAGAUCAACCAUGUGUAGUUGUGAUUUGAGACAUGUUUUGUCAACUGGGAAUGGAUUUUUUUUUUUUGGCAUUUUGUUGGUGUAUCCGAAGUUUCUCUUGAUGCUUAAGAUGUGACUUGUAAUAAAUUUUCUGAUUGUAUCUUAAUUUUCGAAUGAUUGGAUCUGUUUCAGCAGGUACAGUAGUGUGUCAAAAGUCGUUUUUUAUUUGAGGUUACUCUGUGUUUUCUUAUUUGUCACUUGCUAAAACUCAACUUCCAUGUUAUGGACUUUUCUAUGGUAGUGCCUAUUACUACUGAUGGAGCAGUGUGAUAAGAAUAUGGUUCAGAUAUUUUCCUAUGUGGAUUUUAGAACUAGAAAUGGCAGCAGAAGGAGUGCUCUCCGAGUGUCUACUAUAUUAGGGAUUUCACCCUCAGCAGGUAUUCCGCAAGAUUAACACAGAUAAGUGGGAGUUUUUUAAUGAAGCUUUCCAGCGAGGAAAGAGACAUCUUCUGAAGAACAUUCGAAGGUGCGGGCCACCUCAGUCCCAUCAGGUUGGUAGCUAUAUUGUGCCUUAUUCUGAUGCAGGUAAGGCUGGGCUUGAAUUUGAGAUAGAAAGUCUAAGGAAGGACAGGAGUGUGUUGAUGCAAGAGGUGCUUGAGUUGCAACAACAGCAGAGAACAACACUUCAAUGUGCGAAACAGGUGAAUUAGAGGCUUCAAUCUGCAGAACUGAUACAGAAACAAAUGGUUUCUUUCUUGGCAAGGUUAUUUGAAAAGCCAAGUUUUUUAACCCACCUUCAGCAUGAGAAGGAACAAAGAGAUAUAGGGUCUCCUAAGGUGAGAAGGAAGUUUGUCAAGCAGCACCAAUGCCAAACAGGAAUAUCAGAUUUUUUGAAUGAUGGGCAUAUUGUAAGAUACCAACCUGAUUGGAGAAAUGUAUCCAUUUUCACCUGAAGAGUCUCCUAAUUACCUUUCUCAGGCUUUGGCAAAAGAAUUGAGUGAAGGCGCAGAGAAUAUGAUAUCAGAUGAAUUGGCCACAGUCCAUGAGGUAAUGCCAACUGCUGACACCAUUGGGUUAAAGUCAUCAAGCUUUGGACUUGAAGAUACCCUUUUCAAAGGGAAAAAUGUCAUGAGCUCAAAUCAAGAAGUUCUUCAAUUUGACCAAGGGGGCAGGAUUUCCAGAGCUUUCACCUCUUGAAACUGAAAGAAUCAUCAAGCAAGAGGAUAAAUGGAACACCAGCUUUAAUGCUAGUGGCGCUCCUUCAAGGUUUGGGAAUGAGCAGUGGGGAAAUCCUACCAAUUAUGAAGUGCCAGAAUUUGGAGUCACGAGUGGUAUGUCAGACAUGUGGGAUAUUAACUCACUUUUAGCGACAGAAAGUUUCCCAACUGAUGAUUCAACACUUGAUGAAAUAGAAAGAUAAUAAGAAUAUGGAUCCAUCGGGCUUCAUCUGCUUCUGCACAUAUUGUGCUGUGUUUAGUUCCCAGAGGUUCAAUUAUUGAAUAAAUUGAUUUGUAACUGGUGUUCAUUCACUAAUCACCAGCUUUCAUUCUUUUAGAUUAGUUGUAUAUUGUUCAUGCGAAUAGUCAUGAACCAAAUUCUUAAUUUGAAUAUUGUUCUCCUUAGUUUCUUUA